UCCAAUCAGUAAAAUCCAAAAAUUCUAAAUGUUAACGAUAAUUUUGCUCAUCAAAUAAACCAAUUUCACCAUUUUAUUAUUAUUAUUGCUUUCAAGAUUCCAAAAAUUUCAGCAUUUGAACGCACGACAGCUACAACACAUAUUUCUCUCUGAUGAAGGAUCCAAACUAAGCUUACACAGAAUGGCAGCAGCAGCAGAAGUAAAAGCUGUCGACGACGACGACAACAACAACAACAACAAUAACGAUAAUACAUCUACGUCACUAACUGAUAACAAUGAGAAGAAGAACAAAGUGGAUCCAGAGCUGUUUAGCUGCUUGCUUCAACCGGUAACCACCGAUUCCGAUCCUGAAUAUAUCGGCAUCCGCCGCCUCCUUCUCUACCGCAAAUCCGACUCUGGUGUUAAUCGUCGACUCGACUGGAGAUGCAAUGGAAAAGGAUAUGUUAGCUAUCGUAAUUAUAUUCGCAGGCCGAGAAAUUGGGAAAAUCAGCAAAUACCGAGCCUCCAAACCACUCCAGGGGACAGUGGGCGAUGGCUUCAAUGUCCAAGUCCUCCACUCUCCCAUAUGUUUGAUGCAGAGAGCUGGAGUUCUAGUAGGAACCUAAGUGGAAAUCUGGCUUCAACACACAGAACAAGUUUCAGUUCAAGUGUGAGUGAUAAUGAUCGCCCACGUCGUCGAGGGGUUGAACCAGCAUAUUCUUUUGUAGGAAUGCAUUGCAUAUUUGAUCAAUGCAAAUCUGCUGUUACAGUUUUGAAGUUUGGGCACAUGAGUUCCAAUCUACUUGCUUAUGGGGCGUCAGAUGGGUCCUUAACAGUAUGCACUGUUUCUGAGCCACCUUCGGUCCUCAAACAAUUGAAGGGGCAUUCGAAAGAUGUCACAGAUUUUGAUUUCUCAUCCAACAAUCAGUACAUUGCAUCGUCUUCCAUGGAUAAAACUGUCAGAGUGUGGGAGUUAUCACAAGGUCUUUGCAUUCGAGUAAUAUAUGGAGUCUCUUCACAGUUCUGUAUUCGUUUUCACCCUGUAAAUAACAACUUUCUUUCAGCUGGAAAUGAAAACAAAGAAAUUACUGUAUUCAAUUUCAGCACUGGAAGAAUCAUUCAUAAAGCAGGUUUUGAUGCUAAGAUCACCUCUAUGGACCAUGAUCACACUGGUCAGCUUAUUUUCUGCGGGGAUGGACAGGGAUCAAUAUACUGCGUAAGCAUGGACUCUCACACAGGUAUGCUAUCGCGUUCUCAUCGCCAUCGAGGCAAGAGCAAAUCUCCAGUGACAACUGUGCAGUACCGAAGUUUCUCUUUGCUGGCAGGAGGCCCUGUGUUACUGACAUGCACUCAAGAUGGAAAUCUAUCUUUCUUCAGUUAUGCUGGUGCAGUGUGGCUUUGGAAAUACAAGGUUAUCUGACGCUUCGUUGCUCACUCAAACUGGCUCCAAGAGUACAUAGCAUUCGGGCGUCUUUCUGCCCCCUGCUUUCCCUUGAAAAGGGAGAAUACAUAGUUGUUGGAAGUGAGGAUUCCAAUGUCUACUUCUAUGAUUUAACUCGGCCAAGGCAUACAUGCGUAAACAAGCUACAGGGACAUCGUUUUCCAGUUAUCGGUGUUGCUUGGAACCAUGGAGAGAAUUUGUUGGCUUCAUCUGAUCUUUAUGGCAUUGUUAUAGUAUGGAAGAGAGCAAAGUCUAGUUCAAACAAAUAUACGGGGUAAUAAAUCUCAAACACAUGCAUUUCAUGGAUGAGGAAAAAAAUUAGCUUAUUUUGUCAUUUUACUACGUCUGGCUAUUCUUUUAUAAAUGUCAAUUACCAGUGGUUGCUCUGCUCACAUGUUAUUUCAUGUUUUAUUGUCUCCGAUUGAUAAGAAAACUGAGUGACCAUUGUUUGUAUUACAUUUUGUAACAUCAAUUCGGUGUCUUGAAAUUCUGGAUGCUUCUGAUGCAUUUUUGAAGUACAAGAGCUUGUAUAAAGUGAUUUACAACUUUUUCAGAAA